rnacentral:lncRNA from 1 species
UUUUUUUUUUUUUUUUUUUUGUGCAUGUGUGACACACCUGAAUGGUCAUGUAAUAUUUUCAAUUAUAUCACCACUAACUCAAUUAAAUCACCACUGCUCCAAAUUAAAAUCCUUUAUUGCCAUGCUUAGAACUAUGAUUUAGCUUAGGUAUAUUAUUUUUCACAGUCUGCGUUAGUUAAAAACUAGAUUAAGGCAGUUGACUAGAUGACAAUGGACGGAGAUGCUUUCUGUCUAUUUUUCACUUUACAUAGACGGAGUAUUUUAUAUGGAUAUUUUGAAAUUUUGGAGGGAUCACGUGAUAUGAUGCAAGAAGCACAGGGAAUUAUCAAUAAUUUACUUGGAAAUAUUAAUGCGAAUUACUUACAGCCCAGUAUCAUAGACUAAAGUCAGCUUGAGAAACACAACAGCCUGCUUCAUCUCUGUAAGAUUACAUUAUUAUAUGACCUUCACGCAGAAUAUUGUUAUACAAAACAGAAUAUUAUUAGAGGGGACGAAGGAAACAUAUAAUGGUCCUUAAAGAGGAUAAAGGAGAACUGGAAGGCCCUGGGCUGGGCGGGGAAUUGGAUAAUGCAAGAUCUUCUCAUUGGGAAUCAGCUUUUCCCAUCUGAACUUGGUCACCACAUUAUGCAGAAAAGUGCAUAUGGCUAGCCUUGCAUAUUCAUAUCCAGGGCACAUAUGUGCUCCUCCCCCAAAGGGGACAAAUGUAUGAGAAGAUGGACCAUCCCCUUGGAACCUUGAUGGAUCAAACUUUUCAGGGUUAGGAAAGUAUUCUGGGUUCAUGUGCAUUCCAGUGCAUCUGCAGACAUCAAACAUAAAUGUUUAUCCUUGGCCGAUAAUUGAAAACAAAUUAAUCUCAAGAUUUACAAGGCAGAAGAAUGUCAAAUUUAUUUACCAUCCAUCCUUGAGGGAUUGUAUAUCCUCCAUAGUCUGCAUCAGUAAUGGCCUCUUUGAAUCCCCCGAGUGCUGGUGAUUUCAGUCUCAGAGCUUCACAUGCAACAUUCCAUGAAUACUUCAUCUUCCUUAGAUCCUCCCAACUGAGUCUGUCUUUUGAUUUCUUUAGACGUGCAAUUUCUUUUUGCUCUUUCCCCCAUUCAUGGAAAACAUAUUACUAUUAGCAAAGAUCUUUUAGCUUGAAAAUCUUUCAAACAAAUGAAAACAUAUUCUUCUGUUUUAUCCUAACGUAAACAUACAGAUGCAGGAGCAGAAUUAGCUAUUGAUUUACCUCUUAAGACCAAGCUGUAAACAUCUGGAUGCUCUGUUAGAUACAUCAUGAUGUUGGUGAUUGUGUGGUGUAAGGUUCCAUAGGCAGCCUGAAGCGCACCUAAUAAAUGGCUAGCAAUGUCUGCUUCAUUAAACAACUGUCCAUUGUCAUCUGUAGCUUGAAGAGCGUGCGAUAUGAAGUCUUUUCCUGAUGAUGAAUCCAGGCACUCAAUCUUUCUUUGCCUGAUCAUUUCCUCAAACUCUUCCCGCAUCAGCUUUGAUGCUUUAAUGGCGCGACGGAAAGCUGAUCCUGGAACAUCAAAGGGUACUGCAUGCAUACCAUCCGUUACCUCCUCUAUACCCUUUAGAAGUUUAUCAAUCUUUCCUUGAUUCUCGAUUCCUAAGAAUAUAUGACAUUCCAACUUCAAUACAAACUCUCUUGCAACAUCACUAACCUUUACUCUUUCGCAAUUCCAAUCUGUUUGCAGAUGCUGUUUCAUUACUUCAUCCAUUUCGCCAACGUACUCUCGAAGCACAUCGCCCUUAAGAAUGAACGCCAGGAGUUUACGCAGUGAUUUUGAGUGGUUAGUGUUGAGCUUGUUAUUUGACUUGGGAAAGAGUUUGUCAAAUGCGCUCGGCAACCAAUGCUUGAAAAGCUUAUUCUCGUUGGAGAACAGAAAUUUGUUGCCCUCAGCAUCGCAGAAGAUGGCCACAGGGAAUCCAAUCAAUGAUGUCCUGAAAAUAUUGGAGGAAUAUUUCUUCCUCCUAUCUGCUACAAACUUAUGAAGGCAACCUUGGUUAGCUCUGGAGAAAAAAUCCAAUGUUUCGCCUACAAGAGGCCAGCCUGAUCUUCCUGGCGGUAGCCUUGGCUUUUCAGCAGCUAAGUUGGGUUUUGAAAUUUGAGAUUUUUUUCUCAAAAUAAACUUGUGAAGAAACAGAUAUAGGAUUGGAAUUAGAAACCAAAGAAGCAGAAGGAGAUGCUGAAAUUCCAUCAUCAUGUUUGCCUUUGCUAGCUGUCUUGAGAGUCUUGAGACGGGAAGCAAAGAUUAGAUCAAGAAAGGAAAGCACAGUUACUCAAACUAGUAAUGAAUUGCAUAUUUGAAUCCUUACAUAUACUGAUUUCCAGCUAACAUUGUUAAGAAUCUUUCUUUGUCGACUAACUAUAAUUGCUUGAAUUAUUAACAACUAAUCAUAGGUCUUGAUUUGUCUGGAUCAUUUAACAACUUAUGUUCAUUUAAAUGCUUGACAAUGACCAUUAAUGCAAACUUGUUAACUGUACAUUUAUAUUGAAUAUUCAUUAAUUAAUUGGACAGUAAGUUAAUUCUUGCAGACUAACCAAAGAAAUGAUGAGAUUAAAAAAAAAGUUGGUGAUUAGAGGUCCUUCGUUAAGUAAUUUCUUUUAAUGUACAAUUAAAGAAGUGAAAAUAAAAAUAAAAAUAAAAAAAAAGAAGAAAAGUGUUUCCUCAUUACCAAUGUAUUCGUAUUUCCCACACACUAAUUAAAUUUUUUUUUAAAAAAAAGGGUACCCUUUUCCAUGUUGAUGUAAUAUUAAACUUCUGAUACAAAUGAUUUGAUGCUCAAGCAGUUAUUGGUUGGAAUCAAAUAAUUAUUAGUACACUAAAAUCCUGUUCUAUCAUGCUUAGAAGUUAGAAUUGGAAUUUGGCUUAGGACUAUUACAUUUUAGAGUUUUUGUUUUCUUUUUAAACAGUACUAAAUCAAUAGUAAUUUUCUACUUACCCUUUUGAUGAUUCGAAUCCGUGACUUGUCAAUUACUGGUGAAACGUCUUACUGAUUAAACCACACUUCGUUGUCAAUUAUAUAUUAUUAGAGUUAGUUAUCGGAUUAGAUGUUACAAAACAAAGGUGGAUCACUGCAUGAAUUUGGCAUUUUACUUUUACCCAAUAAAGAUAAUAGCUCGUUGUAUAUGAUUAUUCAACACGUGUUGUCAUAAUGUGAAGUAGAAAUUUUUUUUACCCAGACCAAUAUAAUUUGCGGGCUAAUUUGCAACCUCGAUUCUUCUGAAUUUUCAAAUGUAAUAUCGUGUAAAUAAUAUUGGCACUCUUGUAAGCUUUGGAGUCGCUUAUGAACCUAAUAAAAUAUAAUAUCAUAUCAUAUAAAUUUCCUAAUUUUGAUCUAUCCUGCUGAACAACUUCAGAGUCGUCUGCUUGCUUAUAACCAUUUAUCCUCGCUAACGAUUGAUGACUGUAAUAAUUGGACUAUUUUCAUGGGGAUUUCUGUGCAUUGAUCAUGUUGUGCUUCCAUUCCCAUUUUACCAUUUAUUAGUGUUCUUAAUCCAUUAGCUUAGCUUCAAAAUCAUGAUUGUACUUCAUGGAGUGAGGACUACAUAUUUGACAAUCAUCAUCAUUUAUUAUUACCAUAUAAAAAGUAUGAUGAGCCUUAGCAAUAAGGAGUAGAAAAGUAUAAGCAUAUUUUAAUCUUAGUUUUCGUUAUACUUAAAUUAUCCUGAUCUCUUUUAAUUAAAUUUAUUGCAUGCUUUUUAAUUAGAAUUAUUGCAUUUCAAUCAUGAUGCUAAUAAGAAAAAUGAAAAUUUUCAAUAAAUUAAAUCUAAAAAAUUUUGAUAAUUAAAAUUAAAAAUUGCCCAUUUACAACUAUAUUCACCAAUUAUUUUCCUCAUCUCCAAUUAAUUAUUGUAUGCAUUAAAAUUAUCUCCAAUUAUUAUAUUGAUAAGUGUGAUAAUUAAAUUUAACUAUAUUUUAUAUACAUAUUGGUUUAGAAGAAAAUCAUGAUUAAUAAGAAGACAAUAGGCUAUAAACAGUUAAUGAGAAAACAAAAGGUUGAAUUGAUGAUUAAAUUCACUAUAUUAUGUCAUACUGAUUAAAAAAACUCCAAAAAAAUUAUUGACAAUUAUAUUAAAAAAAUAAUAGAAAAGGUUUACAUUUUAGAACAGUACACGGGGAAACUCCAAAGGAUUCUGCAUCUCCAGGGUAAUCGUUCCAUGUAAGGAUGCGUAUCCAGUUUGUAUUAUGCCUACCAUAUGGCUGGCAAUGCCUUCCUGAAUAAUUGACCAUCAGCAUCAGCAUCUUACAGUAUUACCAUACAUGCUAACAAGGCCUACUAAUGUUUUUUAAGUGGUGAACAGCUGCAGUUAAUUAGGAGGGUUCUCACCACUGUUCUAUCAAUUAUUCGAUUUUUGCCCCCUCAUCCCCCCCACUCCCCUCCUCCCCCCACCACAACCAAAAAAAAAAACAAAACAAAAAGGUUCAUGACAGUGGUUAUGGUAAAUGGUCUUGAAAAUCUACUAGUUCAAUUUUGCUCAGAAUAUUUGUAAUCUUUUAGUACAUAACAACCAAAAGAUAUUUUUGUUUUUCCUUUUAAGUGAGUAGCUAUAUAUAUGUGUGUGUGUAUGUAUUUGACCUUUCUACUCUAUUCUACAUCCUUUCCGUUCCAACUAUGAUUCAAAUUUAGAACUUGAUAGUGAAAAUAACUCUAAAAGCAGUCUCCACUCACCAAAAAAUCUGCAAUUAGGCCAUGCUUCGUUGUCACCUUCUUAGUAUUAUAAAUUUGAAGAUUUAGUUGUAUCAAGAACCUACGCUUUCUAUCCAAUUCCUCUAGAAAUGUAUAUUUCAUUUUCCUCUUCUUUUGUUUGUUUUUAGUUGGGUGUAGCAUCCUUCUUUUAAAACGAGGAAUUAUCAAUUUGAAAAAAAAAAAGAGGAAUAACAACCCUUACCAACGUGAUAUAGGAUACAUAUUUAUCAUAGACGAACUUUACAUGAGCACUGGUAUAUUCAGAAUAGAGCUCCUAGUGGAUCAUAAUUUUGAGUACAGCUCCUGCUAAUUUUGUCCACAAUUCCCAGAGAAAAUGUUGCUCAACUUUGGAUGAAUUGAGCUUGAGAAUUGGACCUUCAAUCUAGCACUUCCUUAAUUUGCCAUAAAAAAUACAAAUAUUUUUUAAACUUCACAAGGAUACAGUAAUGCAAGUUCAAUUUUUCAAAUUAUAUUUCACUGGUUUGAGGGAGUUCUAGUGUUGUACUCCUGUAACUUCUGUAAGUUCAUGAGGCAAUGAUUCAGGUUGCAAAAGCUCACCUGCUAACCAAUUGACUUCCAAUUUUUAUCAGCAUUCACAAAACAUUUAAUUAUUCCGUAAGCUGACGGUUGUGCUGAAGGGUCAAACUCAUGAUUGUACAAAAGGAGACAGUAGAUUGACAAGUAACGGCUAUUGAGUUGCUAGUUGCUAGAUAUGCAUCCUACAGAUCAAGAAAAGACACGAAUCAAGUGUAGUUAAUGCCUUCUUGGGGUAACAACUGGCCCUUUACAUCUCACUUUCUGAGCCGAGAGGGAAAUAAAAAAGAAAAGAGAAGAAGGGAAAUGGACAAUCAAAUAAGAACAGUUACGGACAAUUUAAGGCUUGUGAGGAUAAAGGUGAACUGGAAGUCCAUGAGCCGGUCUUGGGUAUGGAUAAUGUAGUACUUUCUCAUCAGGAAUUUGUUUUUCCCAUCUAUACUUGUUCACCACAUUAUGCAGAAAAAUGAGUAUUGCAAGUCUUGCAUACUCGGUUCCAGGGCACAUAUGUGCUCCACCCCCAAAUGGGACAAAAGUGUAAGCAGCUGGACCAUCACCUUGAAAUCUUGAUGGAUCAAACUUAUCAGGGUCAGGAAAGUAUUCAGGGUUUUUGUGUGUGGCGUGUGCGAUCCAAUGAAUCUGCAGAAGUGAAACAAAAUGACAUGUCUGAGAUUUCUGUUGAUCAAGUACCAUGCUUGAGAUUUUGGAGCGCAGAAGCAGAAUGUACCUUCCAUCCUUUUGGAAUUGUAUAUCCUGCAUAGUUGAAGUCAGUGAUAGCUUCUUUGAAUGCCCCAUGUACUGGUGGUUUUAGUCUCAAAACUUCGCAUGCAACUUGCCAUGAAUACUUCAUCUUCUUCAAAUCAUCCCAACAUAAUAUGUUAUUUGGCUCCUUUAGAUCUGCAAUUUCUUUUUGCUCUUUCCCCAGAAUAUGUAAGAAAUAUUAGAAUGUAGGAAGCACCUGACUUAACGAUUAUCAAUUCUAAAACUGGGAAGAAGGAAAAGGAAAAAAAUGUUUCUCAGUUACUUCCUAUACAUAUACUUUAGCUUACAUAUUUCAUCAUUUGCAAUCUUCAGUAAGUAGUUAUCCAGUAAUAUAUCAUAUUAUAAGCAUUAACUUGUGCAGGGGGCAUCUUUGCUUAUGCUGACUACCAUUGCUUAUCUUGCAUCUAGUAGUAUAAGUCUUGAUUUUGGAAAAUUACCAACAACAAUUCUAAACUGGAACCAAGAUGCUUCUGGGGUAAUGUAUCUUUAUCUCUAUUACGCCUGCAUCUCUGGUUCUAUUGGCUUUUUAAAUGUCUGAGCUACCAUUGAUUGCCAUUCUACUUCUAUUAAAUCAUUUAUUUCAGUUGAAUUAAUGCAAAUCAGGAAGCUCUACCAACUAGUUACUAUUAUGAACAUAUUCAAAACAUGACCAGAUUAAACACAUAAACAGCUAUAUUGGUCUUACCUCGUAGGACCGAGUUAUAAACAUCAGGAAACUCUGUAAGAUACAUCAUGAUGUUAGUAAUUGUGUUGUGAACGGUUGUGUAGGAACCUUGCAAUAAACCUACUAAAAUGCAAGCUAUGUCGGCUUCGCUGUAAAACUGGCCACCAUCAUCUGUUGCUAAAAGCAUGUGUGACACGAAGUCCUUUGCUGAAGAUGAACUAUGCACCGAAAGAUCAAUCUUUCUUUGCCUAAUCAUUGACUCAAACUCUUCCCGCAUCAGCUUCGAUGUUUUGAUGGCACGAUUCAAAGCUGUUCCUGGAAAAUUUAAGGGCAUUGAAUGAAGACCAGUUGCUAUCUCUUCUAUACCCUUUUCAAGCUCAUCAAUCUUUCCCUGAUUGUCGAUGCCUAAGAAUGUAAUGCAUGCCAAUUUGAAUAUGUACGUUUUCGCCAUAUCACCAAUCUUCACUAGUUUGCACUCGGCAUAGAUCUGCAAAUGCUGCUUCAUUAUUGCAUCCAUGACACCAACAUAUGCUCGUAAAACAUCUUUCUUGAGAAUGAAAGUCAGGAGUUUAUGCAACGCUUUUGUGUGCUCAGUGUUAGGCUUAUUAUUUGACUUGGGAAAGAGCUUGUCAAUUGUGCUUGGCCACCAAUGCUUGACAAAUUUAUUCUCAUUAGAGAACAGAAAUUUGUUUCCCUCAGCAUCACAUAAGAUAGCCAUGGGGUAACCUAUCAAUGAUGUCCUGAAAAUCUUGGAGGAGUACUUGUUCCUCCGCUCUGUUACAAACUUUUCAAGGACACCCUGUUGAAUUUUGGAGAAAUACUCCAAAGUUUCACCUACAAGAGGCCAGCCUGUUCUGCCUGGUGGAAGCCUGGGGUUUUUAAAAGCAAAUUUGCUGAUUGCAACAAGAGAUUUAUCUCUCAGACUGAGCUUACAAAUACACAGAUAUACAAAAAGAACCAGCGACAAAAUAAGCAAAAAAAUCUGUGAUAAUUCCAUUGCCUUGAUAGGAUACUUGCUGAUUCUUUGUGCUCCAAGAUGAGAAACGUAUAUUAGAUCAUCAAAGAAGAGGGAAAGAAAAGAACCUCUCUAAGACCUGGAAUGAAGUUUCUCACUGCAGAUUAAAACCCUUGUAUGAUAAAUCUUGGAAACGAAGAAAGAUCCUAGCUGCAUUCAUGGUGGUUCCAGCUAACUUGUAGAUGAACAUAUCACUGGAGGUUUCAAAUCAGUGAAGUCAAAAUAGAUAACUGGAGAUUUGAAAGACGUUGUUCUGUUUUUGAACUUCAAAUCAGUCCACUCAAGUAGCCUGUUGCAGCCCCCCGGGCAGAUCGACUGGUUUCCGUAGUCCCCUCUUUAGGGGCAGGUCACUAGAUCAACCCCUGGGAGAGCUAACGCGCUGUGAACCUUGGGGCAGGGCUCUCACAGCCGCAGGGAAUUAGUCGGGCCCAAUAGUUCCGGAUACCCCCGUGUCGAAAAAAAAAAGAAAAAAAAAAAGCCUGUUGCAUUUGAGAAGAACCAAGAAAAUGAACAAAACCAGACGUUGUGUUAUUACAGUGACUAGAUUUGUUUCAUCAAAGGCUCUAAUUUCCGAGAUGUGGAGGAAUUAAAUAAUAGAUUUAUAAGUUUUAGAUGUGCAGUCUCCACAUGGCUAGCAACAUCUUGAUGAUCUCAAGAUCUGAAAAAGUAAUAAAAAAAAAGCUUGUUGACCAAUAUUUUUGUACUCUUUGUGUGAGGACCUAGUCUCACACCGAAAAUGUGGCUAGCAAAGGAAUUGUAUAAAAAUUUAAACCCAUGGCUACUUAGUAACCUGGAUAAUUAAUUUUUAAGCUCAUGGUUCUGCUCAAAAGUUAUUUGGAUCGAUUCUCAGGUCUAAAGUGUUACAGUUGAUAUAGAGCAAACAUGUUAGCUACUCGUAUGUUAUGAUUUUGACUAUGCAAGAGAGUGUAAGGAUUGGACGAAUCUUACAAGGCCAUAACUUAGAUUAAUCAUUUUGAACCCGUAGUUCUGCUCAAAAGUUAUUUGGAUCAACCCUUGAAUAUAAGGGGUUACACUUUUCUCUGCAAUGAUUAAUUAGCCUUGCUUCCAUCUACGUAUUGGAUGAGGUUCCUUGCACACUGUUAGCUAGGCAAGAUUCAUCUUAAAGAACACUUUAAGAAAAUAAAAUUAGAAGAGUGAAGUUGACUUAUUCUUGGGGGCUAUUGGAUGUUAAUUGAGGUUACUUCCACUGUUAAGUACUGACGUAAAUUAACAAGAAGUACAAGGAUUAACAACACACCCAUCUAUCCUAUCAUCUACAAGGUUGCUUCAUGAAAUGGUGGUCAGCAAUUCUGGAAGCUCAGGAAAGCAGAGGAGAUGCAGAUCAGGUGAAUGCAACCAUCAACAUCCUCUGGCAGAUUUGGAAAGCUAGGAAUGAUAGAGAAUUUAACCAAAAGGAAAGAGAGUUUGAGAAGGCUCUAAAAGAAUGGGUGGAGUUUGAUGAUGCUAACAAAGGAAAGGAACCAAGGAAGAUCACUCAGGAAACAGAAGUACAACAGUGGACUGAUCAACAUCAGAACGAAGGAGGCAUGAGGAUGCUACUCAAGAUUCAUACCCAACAAGAUCAAAGUCAGCCUAUAGUGGGAAUAGGAAUCACAGCAACUGAUAACUUUGGUCAAGUACAAGCAGCCUGGGCACUCAGAGAAAGAAUGUCGGGGGAUCCAUUACAAGAUCAAGCAGAAGCUGUGAGACUAGCUUUACUAAAAGCUGCCAACCAAGGCUGGAGGCACAUCAAAGUAGAGCUGGACAACAGAAGACUGGUGGAAUCUAUAAUGGAUUCAAGAUAUAACAAUUGGCGGGUUUCUACUCUUAUUGGGGACAUUCAGUCCAUUUGUAAUUUGUUUCAUCAGUGCUCUUUCUCUUUUGCUAAUUCGGGGAAAGUAGAUAGUAUUAAGCUGAGCAUGCAUGCUCUUAACAUUUGGGUAGAUGAAGAAUGGGUUAAUCGCACUCUUAGAUGCUAAUGCAUCAUUGACAUAUGUAGGACUGCUGUCCUUUUGUUUGAACCUUUGUCCAAAUACUGUAAAGAGUUGAAUAUGAAAUACAAAGCUAUCGUUUCGACAAAAAAAAAAAAAAAAGGACUGACAAAGUAAGGAAGAUCUAAACAGUUUUUAUUCUUCAACUUGAUGUAGGAAAGAUAGAAAUCUGAACAACAGUCAUACAGAUAGAAAAAGCGAGCCAAAAUGAAGUUAAAGACGGCAAUCCAUGCAAACUUUAUAAGAAAACGAAGUAGAACAGCCUAAGGUUGGUGAGGAUAGAGGCGAAUGGGAAGUCCCUGAGCUGGCCUUGGAACUGGAUAAUGCAAAACUUCCUCAUCAGGAAUUAGCUUUUUCCAUCU